GCGCCGAUGGUGUAAUGGUUAGCAUUAAUGCCUUCCAGGAUUUCGAGUUUUAGGCUCUGGAAUCGGGUCAGCAUUAGAUUCGGGUUCGAUUCCCGAUCGGCGCA
rfam:Macrophomina phaseolina MS6 contig00053, whole genome shotgun sequence.